GUGCCAGCCGCCGCGGUAAGACGAACCGUGCGAACGUUGUUCGGAAUCACUGGGCUUAAAGGGCGCGUAGGCGGGCUGCCAAGUCAGUGGUGAAAUCUUUCAGCUCAACUGGAAAAGUGCCGCUGAUACUGGCAGUCUCGAGGGAGGUAGGGGUCGAUGGAACUAAUGGUGGAGCGGUGAAAUGCGUAGAUAUCAUUAGGAACGCCGGUGGCGAAAGCGAUCGACUGGACCUCUUCUGACGCUGAGGCGCGAAAGCCAGGGGAGCAAACGGGAUUAGAAACCCGUGUAGUCC
rnacentral:rRNA from 1 species